UAAAUUUUCCUUACAUUUCUUCUUUUUUGUAAAUGUUCCUGCCAUAUGCUUGCUUUUCAUUUUAACUGCCACCUGCUUCAACCAAAGUCUCAAGUAUUUAACACCAUGAAUAUAUGAAGGAUAAACAAGAACCCCAAAAUGGGGAAAAUCUGAUAUAAAUAAAUAUUUGAUAGCAAUCUUAAAAAGUAAUAUCCUUCCUUUGAUUUUCUUAUGGAUCCCCCGGAUUUUACCUGCCAACAUGAAUCUAUGUUGAAAGAAACUUGCUUCCAGUGGAGUGCUCCUGCCAUCAACAUUUCCACAACCGCAAAAAUCAGAUGUUUUGGAAGGCUUCUUGUGUUGGGUGGCCAAGACUUCAGGCGAUGCCGCAUUUGAUGCAGCAAGUGCCGCAACAGCAGCAGCAACCCCUGCAACGGAUACUGCUGCAUGCAACUGGGCAUUGUGAGUUCUAAUCUCCUGCUUCUUCCUCUCCUUUUGAUCUUUCAACCAUCUCCCAAAUGUUUUCCCUCUCAUUAUGCUUUUAUAUAGCUGCAAAAAGAACAUUAAUGAGGAUGAUGAAGAUAAUAACAAUGAUCAGAUCAAAUAAUGACUAAAUCAAGAUACCCCAUUUCUGAGUAACUGUUGAUUUGAUAGGAAAUCCGGGUUUAGCGCCUGAUGAAGUAGAAAUAAUUCCUGCACCGAUGAAACAAGUUCAAAUCCAAUUUGUACUAUGAAAGCAGCUAUGUCUACUAGUGUUUUUGUGAAAUAAAAAGUAAUUUCCAGAAGUAAAAUUUUGAUGUGCCUGUACACUUUGAAACAGAGUUACCUUCAUGUCAUCACUAUCCCUAGGAGAAAUUGGAGGGCUACCCCCACCUGGUAAUUGUUGAAUAAUCUGUGACACAAGAUUAUAAAGAUUAUAGUUGAAAAGUAGCUCUAUCUUUGUCUCUGUUCAAACAAGCUAUCUAACUCAAUAGAGAAUUAUGGUCAAGAUAAAGAUAUUACAGCUUCCUCUGAAGCCACAGAACUUGCAACAUGAAUUUCAGCUUCAUUGCCAACCGAACAGAAGGCGGAGUACUUGUCCAGGUUGUCAGCUGCAAGAGCCUUAGCGAGCUCCAUGGCCGAGAGGCUCCAUGAUCUAGCAAGAAACUCCAUGGACUCAAUGGGAGUUUCCGGUGGUGCACAUGUCUCCGGCAGCCAACUCGCAGGCCCAUCUUCCUCGAUGUUUUCCAGACGACGUGAAGGGCAUUUGAAGCCUCCGCAGGAGCCCACAGACACUGCAACAGUUGCACCAAGAAAGGAAAAAAACAAAUCAGUAUCUUAUAGUCAUUGCAGGUAGCUCAGAAUCACAAAAAGCAUACUCCUAAAAUAUGUUACUUGUCAGAAUGAUGCUCUGCUUCAAGUAGAGUUGAACAUGAAAGCAACAACCAAGAUGAUGAGAAGAGGAAGGAGGAGACUAUGGUAUUUAACAAUGGGGGGUUGGUUCUCAAAGGUGGAAGUUUGUUUAGUGUAGGGAAAAGGGAAAGAUAAAAGGAGAGAAAGUGGAGGCAUAUUAUUCUGCGUACUAUAUGACAGGACCCCAUUAAAGGUCUCUCAUCUUUGUCCUCAACUUCCAGUCGUUUUUUUUCUUUUGUUUCUCUACUCUUUUGGUGCUUUAUACAUAAAGAGCUAAAGAACAUUUUUUGAGCGGCGGGUUUCAUCAUGACUUGGCCUUCCUUUGCCACUAUUUCUACGGUCUAAAGCAAGAAAAAAAAGGGCCCUUCUGCACCCCUGUAUAUAAUCCUCCGGAUUGUAGCCAAAUGGUACCCAAGAAUUGUAAACUUGUGGAUGUGCCAAGACCAUGGUUGAUUGGGCUUGGCGAAAUUUUCUUUUGCCUGCCUCAUCUGGAUGACCCAUUUGACUCGGUCCAACUGAAAGGAAUGGAAUAUUUUUUGUCUUUUACCAAAAGAAUAUGGAAAUAUGGGAAAUUGAUAACAUAAUCACCCUUUUUGUACAA